rnacentral:lncRNA from 1 species
UUUCACAUAAAUCAAUUUUUAUUAUAUAGUUUAUUCUUUGAAGUUAUUUUUAUUCAAACAUGAUGAUUGCAUUACAAUUUUCAUUUACUCAUUUUGCAUUUGAAGGUAUUAAUUUUGGACAUCCAGCCUGGCAAUCUACGUCUUCAGUACAAGAUGCUUCUGGUUUCAUGCACAUAUCUACGUAUAUAAAUAAUGUUUGUAAAUAUUAUAUUAAUUUUGUAUGUAAAGAUUACAACAUAUUGAAAAUACAUUUUUAUAAAUUACUCAUGGAUUUUCAACCUGAUAUGUACAUGCAGAAAGCAAGUAAGAAUAUCAUUAUGAGAGCAGAAAUCUAUUUCUUUGUAGUAUCCAUCUUGUAUAUACAACAUAUUAUAUUUUACACAUGUCUAUUAUUUAUAGAUGCAUGAGGUGUGACUAAAUCUUGACCAUAUUAAUUAGUUAAAAUUUAUUUAUAAAAUUUAAAAUAACUUUUACUUUAUAUUAAAAAGAGAAGCAUUAAAAAAAGAAAGGUAAAACCAAAGGUCCAUCUAACAUGAGACAUUCCUAAUAUAUGUUUUACAAAUUCUUUUCUAUGGUCAAUAGGAAUAUAUAUAUAUAUAUAUAUAACAUUUUAAAUUGAGUAUAUGAUACUUUCAAAACCAUUACUCUUUUUUUUAGAAAAAUAGUAUUUUUUUAGUAUAUGAUUAGAAAAUUUAUGUUUUAAAUUUUUUCUUUUCGUGUUUGUUAUAUUUUCAACUGUUUUUUUCUUGAAGUUUUAUUUUUCUAUAUAUUUAAUCUUAUUUUGAGGCCCUUCACCCACACACAGUAAUACCUGAUUUCUUUAAAAUAGUUAAUAACAAGAAUUUUAACAAUUUUAAAAUUUCAAAUAAAUUAAAUUAUAUGAAGGUAAAGUGUAACAAAGGAGAAAAAAUAUUAGAAAUAUUGUAUUUGAAGUUUUAUCAAGGGUAUGGCAAUUAGAAAAAGUUUAAAAAAUCCGCCUAACGCUCACAUUCACCAACAAUUUAAUGUACUUUUAAACAUUUCACUUUUACAUGUCUCGUAUCGUUGGAUUUGUGCCCUAGCAUAAAUACUAAGAAUAUGAAACUGCCUCUAAAAGUGCACGAGCCUAUGUCCUAAUCCUAGAUUCCACACUUUUGUUCAAGAGCCUGAACCGACGAACGCAAAUAACCAUUAUAUCAUAGCCAUAACAUAGAGAAGUAAUUGGUUUCCUCCUUCACAGUUUUUCACUUUUACAAAAGUAAGAGUUCUCAACACUAUAUGUAAUUUACAUGCCAUAAUAGAUUCCCUAACCAGGUUCGAGGUAGCUACCCUACCUCUAAAAAUAAAAUUUUCAACUUUACAAACCUAAUCAUAAUCGUAAAACACCCAGACUUUCGAUCAUAAAACACAACUCUGGAAGUACUCCCCCAAGACACGGUUAAAUACUAAAUGGUAUAGUUUAUUGUAUAUUUCUAGCAUGGUUCAUCCCAUCUAGUUAAGCUAUAUAAAUAUGUGAAUAGGUUGUAGCUUUUUUAUUUUAUAAUUUAUAACUUUACUUAUAAAUAGUUUAUAAUAUAAUUACAAACAUGUCAUUUUACAAUUAUAUUUAUUAAAGUUGAUUUUUCUUAUUGAUGACACUUUUUUUUAGAUUAUAUUGAUUUCUAUAACACUUUCAAGAAAACGAAGAUAAAAAUACACAAAUGUAUACACAAGUUAAAAUAGAAAAAACACUAAUAAGAGUUUAAUGAAUUUCAUUUAUCUACUAACAUAUAAGAGACAAAAUGAUCAUAAUAGCCAAAUUAGGUAGCUAUUGAUACAAUUGAACCGAAGGGUGUAAUAUUAGUUAAAUUUUACACUAAGAGACCUAACACAAGUGAUAAGAUCUUCUCAUAAUAGUUUGUUAACACCAUAAUUGUAAAAAAAUAGUACCUUACAAAAGUUGUGAGGUUACGUGCACCUAAAAAUUUAAAAACAUUUAUUGUUUGAUUUGGUGUUAAAAGUGUUUAUUAUUUCAUAAAAAUGAACUUAAGCUUAUUUUUUAGAUCCAUUGUUUUAUAAUUGAUGUAUAAAAUAGUUUACCUUCUUCUUUAAUCAUAUGAAACAGAUAGUUGACAUAUUAUAAAAAUCAAUGAAAAAAUAAAUCUAAAUUACUAGAUGAUCUCUUACCUUCAAAAUUUAAAACUAUAAGAAGAUGUAAAAUCAUAGUAAAGUACUAAUUAAUUAAAAACUUUUCAUAAAACGAACUUAUUACAGUGUGGUAGUGUAUUGAAUCAUAGUAAAAUAUUAAAUUUGUAAGUCUUUUAGUCCAGAAAAUGAACUAAUAAACUUAUCUACUGAUGUUUCGCAUAUUAGAAUGAUGGUCUAAGAUAUAUAUCAUAUUAUUAAUACACAAAAUUUAAAUAUAAUACACAUAUUUUAUAAAUAUAUAAUAAAUUAUUGAAAUUCGUAUAAUAAUAAUAAUAAUAAUAAUAAUAAUAAUAAUAAUAAUAAUAAUAAUAAUAAUAAUAUAAAUUGAAAAUUGUAAAANACACAAAAUUUAAAUAUAAUACACAUAUUUUAUAAAUAUAUAAUAAAUUAUUGAAAUUCGUAUAAUAAUAAUAAUAAUAAUAAUAAUAAUAAUAAUAAUAAUAAUAAUAAUAAUAAUAAUAUAAAUUGAAAAUUGUAAAACAAAAACAUGAUAUUGAUAGAAGUAUCAUGCUACAACAAUUAAUUCAAAAAAGUUUUAUUAUUUUUCAAUUUUUAUUAUAAGUUUUAUUCUUUAAAAUUAUUUUUAUUCAAACAUGAUGAUUGCAUUACAAUUUUCAUUUACUCAUUUUGCAUUUGAAGGUAUUAAUCUUGGAGUAAUAUCAUAUAAAGAUUUUGCACCAAUACACCAACAUCGUCCGUCAAUACACUGUCCUUGUUUUCCUGGACAUCCAGCCUGGCAAUCUACGUCUUCAGUACAAGAUGCUUCUGAUUUCAUGCACAUAUCUGCAUAUACAAAUAAUGUUUGUAAGUAUUAUAUUAAUUUGGCAUGUAAAGAUUACAACAUAUUGAAAAUAAAUUUUUAUAAAUUACUCAUGGAUUUUCAACCUGAUGCGUAGAUGCAGAAAGCAAGUAAGAAUAUCAUUAUGAGAGCAGAAAUCUUUGUAGUAGCCAUCUUGUA